GCAGUGCGGGACGGCAGUGAGUUGCUGGAGUGAUGGCCAGUAGUUCCGGAGGGGGCGAGGGAUUGUGCUGUGGAGGCGAGGCAGUGGGCGGAGCAACGUGCUGUGGGAGCAGGAAUGAGGCGGUGGAUGGCGACAGAGCGGGCUUCCGUGUGAUCUCCAAGCGCCGUGCCUAGUUUGCUGUGGCUUCCGACCGCCCCGCCCCGCCCUGGCCCUGCAAGCCUCUCCCUGUGCCUUGAUACCGCAGGGCGCCUUCUGCUGCUGCUGGGGCGGUGGGGCGGCCAGGCAAAUGGAGGAGUCCAUGACGAAGACCAGGAUGAGAACGAAGACCGGACCGAGACGCCCCCAGAUCAUGGCGUCUCUGCGGGAACCGACACAUAGACGAAGGACCUUGUAUACAGAGCUAUUUUACAGAAAUUGAGAUUGCCACCAUGGUAUUUCUUGUUGGAGCCUCACCCUCUCCUGUGCCCACACCCCGUCCUCCUCCUCAGUCCCUGGGCAGACAUUUAUAAGCCCGUUACCUCUAACCCCACGGUGACUCUAGCCAAAAAACAAACAAACAAAAGACUGAGGAGAGACCCUUCUCUGGCACCUAUGACGAUCUCUCUCUGAGGGUCGCCCCUUUGCUGCUGGGUGUCUCCUACUUGGGAGAGUCUCUAGCAGGACACUCAUUCAUUUAUUCAACAAGUCUGUCUGUGCACUCAAGUAUAUGGGUUAGGUAAGGGAUAUGAACAGGAUGCCCACCUUUGGGGUAGAUCCCUCAGAUUCUAUACAGUUCAGUUUUGGAGCCCUCUGGUGUUCAAGGAACCAGUCAGUCCGUGGACACCCGAGCAUGGGAAAAGCCCCAAGUCCUCCCUGCACUCAGGCUGGGGUGCCUAGCUGCUGGCACGUGCCCAAGCUGAGGGCUUGACAGUAAGCAGAACCAGGUCUUGGGGACACUAGAAGUUUGCUAGGGUGUGAAUGUGUGCCCCAAAAGUUCAUGUCCUGAAAACGUGGUCCCCAGUGCAGAGCUCUCUGCCAGGGCCUUUAUGGACUGAUGAAUCCUUUCAUGGAUUAAUAAGUUGUCUUGAAUAUGGCUUUGUUAUAAUGGCAAGUUCCCCUGGGUACACUUGUUCAGUCUGCAUGUAAUACCUCCACGUGUCACGACAUAGCCUAGAGCAGGGCAGUGGGGGUGCAUGCCUUUAGUCCUAGCACUUGGGAGGCAGAGGCAGGUGGAUUUCUGAGUUCGAGGCUGCCCUGGUCUACAGAGUAAGUUCCAGGAUAGCCAGGGCUACAAAGAGAAACUCUGUCUCAAAAACAAACAAAAAACAAAAAAAGACCUAGCCGUGAGCCAUCAGACAUAGCAGAUACCCAGCAUGAGAUGCUAGCUCCAUUAGAUGCUAGUCCCAUUAGAUGCUAGCCCUGUUAGAUGCUAGUCCCAUUAGAUGCUAGCCCUGUUAGAUGCUAGCUCCAUUAGAUGCUAGCCCCGUUAGAUGCUAGUCCCAUUCUCCCAAGCUUCCCUGCCUCCAUAACCAUGGGCCAAAUAAAACUCUGUUCUCUAUA